GGGGGCGUAGCUCAAUUGGUAGAGCUCUCGCUUUGCAUGUGAGAGGUACCAGGAUCGAUGCCCGGCGCUUCCA